GUCUUUAAGUUGGGCAUGGUGGUACAGGCCUGUAAUCCCAGCGCAGGGUGGGUAAGGCAGGAGAAUGGUUGUGAGUUCGAAGCUAGCCUGAGCUACAAAGUGAGCUCAAGGUCCCCCUGAACUGAAUAGUGAGAUCCUAUC